UGCAGUCGAGCGGAUGAGAGAGCUUGCUCUCUGAUUCAGCGGCGGACGGGUGAGUAAUGCCUAGGAAUCUGCCUGGUAGUGGGGGACAACGUUUCGAAAGGAACGCUAAUACCGCAUACGUCCUACGGGAGAAAGCAGGGGACCUUCGGGCCUUGCGCUAUCAGAUGAGCCUAGGUCGGAUUAGCUAGUUGGUGAGGUAAUGGCUCACCAAGGCGACGAUCCGUAACUGGUCUGAGAGGAUGAUCAGUCACACUGGAACUGAGACACGGUCCAGACUCCUACGGGAGGCAGCAGUGGGGAAUAUUGGACAAUGGGCGAAAGCCUGAUCCAGCCAUGCCGCGUGUGUGAAGAAGGUCUUCGGAUUGUAAAGCACUUUAAGUUGGGAGGAAGGGUUGUAGAUUAAUACUCUGCAAUUUUGACGUUACCGACAGAAUAAGCACCGGCUAACUCUGUGCCAGCAGCCGCGGUAAUACAGAGGGUGCAAGCGUUAAUCGGAAUUACUGGGCGUAAGCGCGCGUAGGUGGUUCGUUAAGUUGGAUGUGAAAGCCCCGGGCUCAACCUGGGAACUGCAUUCAAAACUGACGAGCUAGAGUAUGGUAGAGGGUGGGUGGAAUUUCCUGUGUAGCGGUGAAAUGCGUAGAUAUAGGAAGGAACACCAGUGGCGAAGCGACCACCUGGACUGAUACUGACACUGAGUGCG
rnacentral:rRNA from 1 species